UACGUAGGGUGCAAGCGUUAUUCGGAAUCACUGGGCGUAAAGGGCGCGCAGGCGGGUUUGUCAGUUUAAAGUGAAAUCCUGGGGCUUAACCGAAGGGCUGCUUUUAAUACUUCAAAACUCGAGUUCGGGAAAAAGAAGCGGAAUUCCUGGUGAAGGGGUGAAAUCCGUAGAUAUCAGGAAGAACACCAGUGGCGAAAGCGGCUUGCUAGAACGCAACUGACGCUUAGGCGCGAAAGCGUGGGGAGCAAACAGG
rnacentral:rRNA from 1 species